GGGUGCGAUCACACCAACAGUAAUGUACCGGAUCCCAUUAGUACUCCGAAGUGAAGCGUGUUUGGGCGAGAGUAGUACUAGGAUGGGUGACCUCUUGGGAAGUCCUUGUGUUGCACCCC